rnacentral:rRNA from 1 species
AACGAACGCUGGCGGCAUGCCUAACACAUGCAAGUCGAACGAGACCUUCGGGUCUAGUGGCGCACGGGUGCGUAACGCGUGGUAACCUGCCCUUAGGUUCGGAAUAACUCCCCAAAGGGGUGCUAAAACCGGGCUAAUUCCUCGGACCAAAGAUUUAUCGCCUUUGGAUGGGGCCGGGUUGGAUUAGCUUGUUGGUAGGGUAAAAGCCUACCAAGGCGACGAUACAUAGCUGGUCCGAGAGGAUGAUCAGCCACACUGGGACUGAGACACGGCCCAGACUCCUACGGGAGGCAGCAGUGGGGAAUAUUGGACAAUGGGCGAAAGCCUGAUCCAGCAAUGCCGCGUGAGUGAUGAAGGCCUUAGGGUUGUAAAGCUCUUUUACCCGGGAUGAUAAUGACAGUACCGGGAGAAUAAGCUCCGGCUAACUCCGUG